UACGGAGGAUGCAAGCGUUAUCCGGAAUGAUUGGGCGUAAAGCGUCCGCAGGUGGCUAUGUAAGUCUGCUGUUAAAGAGUGAGGCUCAACCUCAUAAGAGCAGUGGAAACUACAUGGCUAGAGUGCGUUCGGGGCAGAGGGAAUUCCUGGUGUAGCGGUGAAAUGCGUAGAGAUCAGGAAGAACAUCGGUGGCGAAGGCGCUCUGCUGGACCAUAACUGACACUCAGGGACGAAAGCUAGGGGAGCGAAUGGG
rnacentral:rRNA from 1 species